AAUUAUCCACUACUUACUAUGUGGCAUCGUCCAUGUUGCAUUUAAUCCCUUAAUCUUUAUAGUUCAACUUUUGCAUUUAAUCCUUGCUCGAUUCCCAUACUCCAUCUCUCGAUACGCCGCUUAUCUGCCCAAUGGUCUCAUCCUUCUCCGACUUCCUCUGCUCCCAACCCGAGCCACAACCUGCGAUCCGCACCGCGACCGCCCCCUUCGACUUCCUCUCCGACUGACGUUUCAAAUGCACUGGAGCACUUACUCUCCAAGGUUAGCGAUCUCAUGAUCUGGGCUCUUCGCAAGGCUUUUCCAUGGCAGAUUUAUGAAGGAGACAUUCGAGACACCUUGAAAGCAAGAAUAUGAGUUGAAAUGAAGGGAACCUGCUCCACUUCAAGUUUAAAUUGGGCAUGGGUGGAUUGAAGAGCUUGAUGAAGCAGAUAGUAUGUACUAAGGACAUGAUGGAAAUGUUUGGUGGUGGUUUAUGAGCUAUGAGUUGUUUUUAAUCACUACUAUGUCCGCAUUUGAUUUGGAUGUUUUUCAAUUUAUACAAACCUUAAACGAAUGGAAUUGUCUAUUUCAGGUUUACAAAUUUAUGAAUCAGUGUAACACCAAAAAUUCUUUAUGACUUAGAUCUCUACAUUGAAAAUGGAAAGAGGAGAAUAUGAGCCAAACGAUCUCUGCACUAUUGAGCAAUCUGAGCCACAUGCAGGACUUUCAUGCACCAGUUAUACUCUAAUGUGAGAUGAUGAGUCUUAAUCCACAAAUUUAAGAGAACCUUCUUCUAGAUGAAGAAAGAGAUCAUUAAACUCUUUUGUAGUUGUUUUGGUGGAACCUGCUAAGGGAGAAAGACCCGGGGGGAAAGAGUCUGAAUUGAAGCAGCAUCACAAAGUGUCGUUGAAGAAUAUGACUGCAGCAUUUGGGGUUCCAACCUUUCUUGAUCAUAUUCAUCAUAUAUUUCUCCUAACCUCCUCAAUUUGGCAGUGGCUGUGUUCGCUUUAUUUUAAUUAGUUUUCAAAAUUUAGGUGAGUUGGGCAGUUAUGAUUUGUUGUGAUUGCUUAUUGUUAAGUUUUAUGACUUUAUUUUUAAUGUAAAUUUGGUUUUAUUUGUUGUCUA